rnacentral:rRNA from 1 species
GAUGAACGCUGGCGGCGUGCCUAAUACAUGCAAGUCGAGCGAACAGACGAGGAGCUUGCUCCUCUGACGUUAGCGGCGGACGGGUGAGUAACACGUGGAUAACCUACCUAUAAGACUGGGAUAACUUCGGGAAACCGGAGCUAAUACCGGAUAAUAUAUUGAACCGCAUGGUUCAAUAGUGAAAGACGGUUUUGCUGUCACUUAUAGAUGGAUCCGCGCCGCAUUAGCUAGUUGGUAAGGUAACGGCUUACCAAGGCGACGAUGCGUAGCCGACCUGAGAGGGUGAUCGGCCACACGGGAACUGAGACACGGUCCAGACUCCUACGGGAGGCAGAAGUAGGGAAUCUUCCGCAAAGGGCGAAAGCCUGACGGAGCAACGCCGCGUGAGUGAUGAAGGUCUUCGGAUCGUAAAACUCUGUUAUUAGGGAAGAACAAAUGUGUAAGUAACUAUGCACGUCUUGACGGUACCUAAUCAGAAAGCCACGGCUAACUACGUG